AGCCGCCCCUCCCCCCACCGGCGGCCCCGGCUAUAACGGCUGCUGCACGCGGCCGGGAGGCGGGAGCGCAGUCACGUGACCCCGGUGGGACCGUUAUCCGCGGAGCAUGUUCUGUCCCGGGACAGUCAAUGAGCCGUGACGAGAGGGCAGCUGGGUACUGGGUUUCUGCUCCAGGUUCUUCACCUUUUGCUCAAGUUUCAACUUCUCGGACUCCAGUGACUGAACUACUGACUGCAAGGUUCUUGCAGAGGCAUUUUCUCCACGGAGCACUGUGAUCUGCAAUAAUUGGGAAUGCUUAGGCAGUUUGGAGUAAAACCAAAAGCAAUAAGGGAAUGCUAUUAUAGUAGAAUAAAUGCUAGAUUACCACCAAAAAGAUAAGCCAGUAAACAUAUGACAAACAAAAAACAAUGUUUGGAGCCUACUUUGAUUUGAAAAAAAGUAAAGACAGAAAUAGCAACAAGCUCUUGAAAAGUGAGUGCUCAUGAUUUUAUAUCCCUAUUUAGACACCUACGUAAACAAGUGGCCUAAUUUUCAGAAGUGCUGGGAGUACCCACAACUCCUAAGGAAGCCAGUGGAUGCUGAGCUCCUCUGAAUAUCAGCCACCUAUUUGGACACCGAAGGAAUGAUUUAGAAGGUCAACUGUAGGGAGCAGUUUUGGACAAAUCUGUAUGUUCCAGAAGUCAUUAAUAAAAUGUUUUAAAAAAGCCAA